rnacentral:sRNA from 1 species
AUGACUGAACAACUCAAACAGAUUGCAGUAGCUGUUACAACUCUUAGUCAGGGCCCAGUUAACACAAAUGAGCCUCAUAAAGUAGUGAUGAACAUUGAAGGCUUUGAAGGAGACAUGCUUGAUAAAGCUUUUGAUCAUUUGGUUAAUGUUGAAAAGGCAGGAAGGGCCUUUAUGGAUAAAAUUGAUAGGAUGAGAAAGCUUUGGUUGGAGAAAUUUUUCAACAAAACCUUCUAACUUGAAGUUGCUGGAUACGUUGUGUGAAACAUAUUAGUGGUACCAUGGUAUUCUUUAGGUUAUUAAUAAUUAUUGAACAUUGAUUGACAUGUUUUGGAGUUAUUAUGGAUUGUUAUAUUUUGGAUUCAUUAGUAUCUUGAUAAUGUUAUAUUUUGUCCAGAUAUAUUUUGCAAGUUCUGCUACAUUGGUUGAGAAAUAUUUUGCAGGUUCUUUCAUUUUGAAAUAGGCCAUUAAGGGCAAGAUACUCUCCUUGGAUUACCUGAACUAUCAGAUUGAAAUAUUGACUGCUAACUUUGAGCUUUCAUUUAACAAUCAAUAUACUAACAGAUUCUCUCUCUCUCUUCUUCACUACUGCUUUAUUAAUUUUUGUAGGCCAUUGAGUUGGUUGUAGAAAAUUUUCACAGAUUGUGAUUUUGGUGAUUUGGCACUUACCUUCUACAAAAGUAGGAGGAAACCUUUAUGGAGGGGCUUGUACCUGGAAUGGAAUGCCUUUGCGAAGCAACAAUUAUAUUGAGUUGAAUUCUGCUGGUUCAUGGUCUGUAGACUGUAGAGUUAGUAUUGAAUACUAUUAUGGUGUGGGGGGUGAAGGUCGAAACUAGAAUGGAAUGAUUGAAGUAGUUUGACUUAAGGGUGGGAGAAUGAUUUAACUUUUCCAUUCCGUCUUCUCUUAUCUUACCAAAGCAGUAGGAAUAAACAUUGUUCCGGAAUAAACGUUGUUCCGGAGGCUACAUGUAUUGGAAUUAUACCAAAGUGAUGAUUUUGCUAAGUUCAUCACGCAGAAUAGCAGCUGAACUCUGCCACUUCCGCCUUUAAUCAGGGGAAAUGGGGGUUUCGGUUUGAUAUAGAAAGGGCUAGAGACAAUUUACAGUUUGCUAGUGGACAUUAUCCGGAAUAAAAUUAAAAGAGUUUAAUUGACUUAUAAUUUAUUCACAGAUCUGAUUUAAUAUAAUCUUUAGAUUGAUGAGAGAGAGAAAGAUUAAAGGGGCAAGUCAGAGUAAUAGAGAGAUGGUAAGGAAAUCAUAAGAUACCCUGAGCUGUCAAUUCUCAAUAGUCUUUCUACCACAUACAAUCAGUUACCUUGGAGGUUUAUUGGACCAAAUAGUCUUAUUGAAUUGAGUAGGGGCCAAAAGACUAGUUUUGGGGUACAAUUGUGCAUAAUUCUUCUCUGACCAGCCCAUUGCUACAGCAUCAGUUGAGCUGAACUAUUCAUUUUUUAUAAGUAUAGAAUUUAUCCAGCCAACUCCAAUUUCUUCUUGUUAUACCACUCAAAUAAAAAAUGUGGCUGGAAUUAUGAUGAUGCAAGGAUCCAACAGUUAAUGUUCAUUUUGUGGUCAUUGUUUUGGUUUUACCCAUUUUUUUAUUUCCAUUUUACGUUGUGCCAAAGUAUAACACCCGCCUCACUUAAAUUGAAUUUAAUUGCUUCUAGAGUGGAAUUGAUGAAUUAUUUAAUUUAUUUUGAAGGUGAUAUUAUUUUAUAUUAUGGUCACUACAAAGAAAAUAAAUAAAAGAAGAUGUAACGUGAGAGUUAUUUUUGUGGAUUAUUCAUAUUCAACUUUUAGACUCCUUAUCAGUUAAGGAAAAGAUAAGAGAUUAAAACUUCUUUGGGUUAGGAGUUUAAGUGUUAUUGGAAUUCUUAGAGUCCUAGCCCAUCUAAACAACCUUAAAAUGAGUUUAGUGGGAAUUAAAGUCUUGGAAGCUUGUUUAAGUUUUUAGUGGGUUUUAAAUUUCAGCCCAAGAGAAAAUAGUUUUAACGUGUAAGUAAGUUAGGGUUUUCCUGUUGAAAGACAUAGAGAGAGAGACUGCAAAAGUACAAGGAAACAAAUCCUGCAUCCGUGUGAUGGUGUGUUCAGGUAUAUCUCCCUCUCAAACCCUCAUAGAAAUAACCUACGUUGCUAGAGUAGUUUAAUAGAUUUGCUUUAUUGUCCCAUAUGAACUCUUGAAUUAGGCGAUAAGCUCUUGAGUGAUAGUUGCUAGAGUUUGCGCAUGGUAAUGGGGCUGGACUUUUGAAUAUUGUAAUCUAUAUCAUGGUCAAGUUUCUAAACUUUUAUCAAUACAUGCUUCUGGUCACUGGGUCCUACGAGCAGAAAUUAAUUGGUAAAUCUAUUGUAUUCUUUCUAUGGCUUACGGGUAGGAAAAUCCUUGGAUAUUAUAUAUACAUGUUAGAUUAAAUUUCUAACAUUCAGUACAUGCUAGAGGUUGCUAUGUCCUAUGGGUAGAAAUUUCUAUGGAUGCUAUACAUAUAUUUGGAUCUUAUAGAGUAUUUCAUGGUGGUAUUGGUAUUAACCUGUUAGGACUUGAUGAAAAUCUUGGUGAACCACCAGAAUGCAUAUUCUCAUUAGAUGGUAUCCUUAUGGGUUGUAAUACCUCUAUUAGCCUCAAAGACAUUAUAGUAGUAAGGAGAAUUGAUAUGUUAUAGAGGAUUGUAAAGAUGUUUAAAGACUAGUAGAUUAUUAGGAAGUGUCCCUUACAUCUUUAUGGUAUAUGUUAAGGUGGAUUAAUUAUAUAAUUAUAUUACUCCUUUACUUUUAGGUGUGGAGGAAAAGCUCAUUUGAUUUUGGAUCUAGACUACAAGUAUCAGCAAUUAGAGGUAAGUGGACUUCAGAAUAUGACGUCUCUCAAGACGUGUAUAUUUAUAUAUAUUUUUGGUAAAAAUAUAUUUAUAUAUACAUAAUUGCAAAAGUGAAGUUUGCAAAAACUUAUAUCAUUGUUAAUGCUUUAUACAUACCUGAAUUUUAUUAUUUCUUUUAUAUUAUUUUGAAAUUGUAUAUGUUAAGAAUGACUCAAAAUGAUAUUUUUGAGAAAGCAUUUGUUAUAUGAUAUAUGAUUGGUAUUGACAAUAUUGUGAUAAAGUGAGAAUGUUUUCAAACGGUCAGCUAGACAGUCUGCAACUUUUGCCAACAUAGGGUUAAGUGUUGGUCUUUGGCCGAUGUAGUGUUAUUGUGGUGUGGUGUAGUGUUGUCGUUUGCUCUUUAGAGCUAGUGUUGCCUCUUUGAGGUUAUUGUUAUUGUUCCCUAUGGGAAUCACCCACCAAGUGUUUAGUAGCUUAUCUCUUUGUCUGGCUAAUGUUUAAUGUUUUCCAUAUCAAACUACUGUUAUAUUGUUAUUGAUCUUUAUAAGUGGAAAAAUUGUUUAUCGUUAUAAUAUAUUGUUUCUACCUAUUUAGUGUAAUUUUUACUAACUAAAGUGAUUAUUAUUUUAUUAAAUGAUUUCAGCGUUAUAGUUAAAUGUUUUAUUCUUAAUAGUUUCACAAAGUAUAUUAUAUUACGGUUAAAACUAUUUGUAAAUAUUUUGUAAAGCUUAUAUUUUGUCAAUGAUACUAAUGUUUUAUUUUGAAAGACAUCCUCAUGUUAUGUAGUCUCUUAUUGGGCUUCUAGCUCAUCGCCCUUUCUCCACCCUUUCAGAUUAG